GUCGACGUAGUCCAAUGGAGAGGGCACCGGCCUACGAAGCCGGAGGGUGCAGGUUCGACCCCUGCCGUCGACACCA
rnacentral:tRNA from 1 species